rnacentral:lncRNA from 1 species
CUGACAGAUGUUUGUCUGUUUUAAUAUGAUUUGUCCUUUUCUUUCUUGUCCUUCCUCUGUGGAUGUUGCUUUUUCUGUCCCCAUGGCUGUGGCCCUCUUCUUCCUGGCUGUCACUUUCAGUUUCUAGGCACCAGCCCCUUUCAGGCAGAUAGCCCUGGCACUACCAGCUGACACUUCCACUUCUAAUCACCUAUGACAUUCUCAUUCUCUCAGUUUGUCUACUCUCCCAGGUUAACAAUUAUGUGUUCAUGCCAAUGCCCCUAGGUGACAACCCCUUACCCCAAGACCCUCAUAAUACACCCAUUCCUGCUGGAAGCAGACAGCAAGCCCUAGCAAGUUACUUUCCUUUCUUUUACCAUGAAGAUCUCACUCAAGACCAGCAAGAAAUUACAACUCUGAAGGAUCUCACAACAACACCUCAUCCACAUCUGUGUAGCCAAUUGUAGCCAUUUCCUCCUGGAGGAAAGAGGGGGACUCAUAACAUUUAGGAAGUAACAGAAACUACUAGAGUUGCAAGGCUCUGUCCUCAAGAUUGUAAGAGCAGUAAACAAUUUCUUGGGAGAGGAGAUCUUUCUGGCAGCCAAGUCAUCUGCAAGUUAUGGGAGAAGCCCCAUGAGGAGAAGCCAAGCUGAGGUAAGCUACGCUCCUGCUCUGAGUCACCUCCUUUAGGUAACCUCUUA